rnacentral:lncRNA from 1 species
CCUGCCUCCAGUUUCCCUUUUACAUAGUUUCUCUACUUUGGUUAUUCUAGUUAGCCAUUCGUCUAAUCUUUUUUCAAGGUUUUCAACUUCUUUGUGGUGGGUUUGAACUUCCUUCUUUAGCUUGGAGAAGUUUGAUCGUCUGAAGCCUUCUUCUUUGAAUCAGUAAUUAAAAGUCUACCAACCCCGAAAAGCCCCAGACCAGAUGGAUUCACAGUCAAAUUCCACCAGAUGUAACAAGAAGAGCUGGUACCAAUUAUACUGAAACUCUCCCAAAAAAUUAAGGAGGGACUCCUCCUGAACUCAUUCUGCAAAGCCAGCAUCACCCUGAUACCAAAACCUGGCAAAGACACAAUGAAACAACAAAAACCAAAAAGCAGAAUAUGGGAGAUAUGAGGUGAUGAUAUGAGAGUUGUUUUCCCACCAUAGAGCCAGGCAAGAGACAGAAACAUUUCCCCCCUUCCCCUUAGCUCCAAGUUGCAGGAGCCCCAUUCAAGGCAAGACCAGUAGAGUUGCUGGGGGUUCCCUUUCUCCACCGAGCUCACACUUAAAGAGAAGAAGUCCUAUACCAGACAUGAUAGGCCAAGAAUACUGGAGCCUAAUCACACUUCCCCCACAUUCUGUGUAUGCCAGAUGUUCUACUACAGGAGAAGAAAGACAAUACCAGCAGCUACUACCAUGACCAGUACCCUACACACAGAACAGGGGCCAUUAUACGAGAAGUACUCUGCUGUCCUUGCACCCACACUGUGAAGCAGUGACAUCUGUUUUCUCCCCAUGGUGAGGAGAGAAAGGUCAUAGGAAUAAAGAACUCCAUAGUUCUCUCUAAGAGGACUCACGUUACAUGAGACAGAGUAUGGGAAAGUUCAGAUCUAAGGGCAUUGUCAAAAAAAAGGAAGAAAAUUUAGUGAUAAGCAACUAAAAGUGGUCUUGAAGCUCUGUAGUCACAAUAACAGCAAAGAUAUGAGACAGUUAUAAGUUUAACAGAAAUAAGAAAGAA